UACGGAGGGUGCAAGCGUUGUCCGGAAUCACUGGGCGUAAAGGGCGCGUAGGCGGCCUGGUAAGUAGGGGGUGAAAUCCUGCGGCUUAACCGCAGGGCUGCCUUCUAAACUGUCAGGCUUGAGCACGGUAGAGGCAGAUGGAAUUCCCGGUGUAGCGGUGGAAUGCGUAGAGAUUGGGAAGAACAUCAGUGGCGAAGGCGGUCUGCUGGGCCGUUGCUGACGCUGAGGCGCGACAGCGUGGGGAGCAAACAGG
rnacentral:rRNA from 1 species